rnacentral:rRNA from 1 species
AGUUUGAUCCUGGCUCAGGACGAACGCUGGCGGCGUGCUUAACACAUGCAAGUCGAACGGAAAGGCCUCUUCGGAGGUACUCGAGUGGCGAACGGGUGAGUAACACGUGGGCAAUCUGCCCUGCACUUCGGGAUAAGCCUGGGAAACUGGGUCUAAUACCGGAUAGGACCUCAAGACGCAUGUCUUCUGGUGGAAAGCUUUUGCGGUGUGGGAUGGGCCCGCGGCCUAUCAGCUUGUUGGUGGGGUGACGGCCUACCAAGGCGACGACGGGUAGCCGGCCUGAGAGGGUGUCCGGCCACACUGGGACUGAGAUACGGCCCAGACUCCUACGGGAGGCAGCAGUGGGGAAUAUUGCACAAUGGGCGCAAGCCUGAUGCAGCGACGCCGCGUGGGGGAUGACGGCCUUCGGGUUGUAAACCUCUUUCACCAUCGACGAAGGUCCGGGUUUUCUCGGAUUGACGGUAGGUGGAGAAGAAGCACCGGCCAACUACGUGCCAGCAGCCGCGGUAAUAC